rnacentral:misc_RNA from 1 species
GAUGAAGAACGUAGUGAAAUGCGAUAAGUAGUGUGAAUUGCAGAAUUCAGUGAAUCAUCGAGUCUUUGAACGCACAUUGCGCCCCCUGGUAUUCCGGGGGGCAUGCCUGUCCGAGCGUCAUUGCUGCCCUCAAGCACGGCUUGUGUGUUGGGCCUCCGUCCUCCUCCCGGGGGACGGGCCCGAAAGGCAGCGGCGGCACCGCGUCCGGUCCUCGAGCGUAUGGGGCUUCGUCACCCGCUCUUGUAGGCCCGGCCGGCGCUUGCCGACACAUCAAUCUUUUUUCCAGGUUGACCUCGGAUCAGGUAGGGUUACCCGCUGAACUUAAGCAUAUCAAUAAGCGGAGGA